AAUCUUAGAUUUGAUGAAAAAUCAAAGUGUUUGAUUUUAUCAAAUUUGAAAAUGAAUUGUGUGUUUACAAGAAGAUAGUGGGAGCAUUUUUCGUAUUCCUAAAACGACAUCCCUAUAUUUCAAUCGUUGAAAUAAUGGUUGUUAAAAGAUUUAUUCAUAAAUGAUAUGAGAUAAGCAACUUGAUCUAUAGAGGUAGAUCUAGAAGAUUGCUUAACUCAUCCCAAUUUAUAUAGAUGAAAUCUUGAGAAGAUUUCAUAUGGAGAAACUAGUUUACUCUUAAG
rnacentral:lncRNA from 1 species